rnacentral:SRP_RNA from 1 species
GCCAGGUGUGGUGGUGAGCAUCUGUAGUCCCAGCUACUUGAGAGGCUGAGGUGGGAGGAUCGCUUGAGCCCAGGAGCUCUGGGCUGUAGUGCGCUAUGCCGAUCGGGUGUCUGCACUAAGUUCGGCACCAAUAUGGUGACCGCCCAGGAGCGGGGGACCACCAGGUUGCCUAAGGAGGGGUGAACCGGCCCAGGUUGGAAACAGAGCAGGUCAAAACUCCCGUGCUGAUUAGUAGUGGGAUCGCGCCUGUGAAUAGCCACUGCACUCCAGCCUGGGCAACAUAGCGAGACCCCAUCUCU